rnacentral:miRNA from 1 species
UAAAGUUCAUUCGGGUUUUU